rnacentral:rRNA from 1 species
CCUACGGGCGGCUGCAGUGGGGAAUAUUGCACAAUGGGCGCAAGCCUGACGCAGCCAUGCCGCGUGUGUGAAGAAGGCCUUCGGGUUGUAAAGCACUUUCAGCGGGGAGGAAGGCGUUAAGGUUAAUAACCUUGUCGAUUGACGUUACCCGCAGAAGAAGCACCGGCUAACUCCGUGCCAGCAGCCGCGGUAAUACGGAGGGUGCAAGCGUUAAUCGGAAUUACUGGGCGUAAAGCGCACGCAGGCGGUCUGUCAAGUCGGAUGUGAAAUCCCCGGGCUCAACCUGGGAACUGCAUUCGAAACUGGCAGGCUAGAGUCUUGUAGAGGGGGGUAGAAUUCCAGGUGUAGCGGUGAAAUGCGUAGAGAUCUGGAGGAAUACCGGUGGCGAAGGCGGCCCCCUGGAUAAAGACUGACGCUCAGGUGCGAAAGCGUGGGGAGCAAACAGGAUCAGAUACCCGUGUAGUC